ACUAUAGAAAGAAUUUCACUGAUCAUUUGUUGGGUUUAUCUUUAUUGUUCCUAGACUAAAAAAAAACAAACGACGGCAUUCAAUUCACCAAAUGCUCAGCUCUGUGAAAAUCUAUACACACAUGUCGGAGUUUUCACGGCUCCAUAAAGUUCAUCAAACGUUAAAAUGAUUUGUGGAAAAAAGGCAUGCGCAAAUUUCUAAGAAAUCUAAGCUCCUGAGUGAAAAAGAAGAUGUCUGGAUGAGCCGGGAGUUUGACACCAAUGACAUUUUUCCUGCCAGCCUCUUGCAGGAAAUUUAUAUCGAUCUCUGAGUGGAGAAUUCAGGAUGUUGAUUCCACGGAGUAGAAGAACUUAUUGAAUGGCUACAGGCCUCGUAGAAGAUUGAGCAUGGGCCAGACGCAUGAUGGGUAAUAAACUCUGUGCCCCAUUACUGAGUAAGAAACCUUACAGAGAGGACCAGUAUCCAUGGCAACACAGCAAGGACUCUCAUCUCCUGAGAUUGUGGGCGGAGAUAUUCCGUGUUCAUGGUGACGGUGACUAUAUGAGAUGGGAGCGUGUUUCAUUGGACGUCGUACCUGUCAAUAUCUCCUGUAUCGAGGACACGCCCACUACAGUAUUCCAGAUCACCGCGUACAACAAACACGUUGAAAAAAUAUUUGACGUCAAAAUUACACAACCAGGUAACAGUUACCUCCCUUUUGUAAAAAUUAACAGUUACCUCCCUUUUGUAAAAAUUAAC